rnacentral:tRNA from 1 species
GGCGAAAUAGCUCAGUUGGAGAGCGUUAGACUGAAGAUCUAAAGGUCCUGUUCGAUCCCGGGUUUCGGCA